rnacentral:rRNA from 1 species
GACGAACCGUGCGAACGUUGUUCGGAUUCACUGGGCUUAAAGGGCGCGUAGGCGGGCCGUCAAGUCAGGGGUGAAAUCUUUCGGCUCAACCGGAAAAGUGCCUUUGAUACUGGCGGCCUCGAGGGAGGUAGGGGCGUGCGGAACUUCCGGUGGAGCGGUGAAAUGCGUAGAUAUCGGAAGGAACGCCGGUGGCGAAGGCGACUACCUGGCCUGUUCUUGACGCUGAGGCGCGAAAGCUAGGGGAGCAAACGGG